GACCAUGGAUCUAACAUUCAUUGCCCCAAAAAGGCUGCAUUACCUCUCCAGGGAUCUUUUCCCAAGCUCACUCUCCCAGAAAGCUGGAGAAACAGGGGUUGAAGGAUGGGCCCAGCAGUGCUCACAGAGAGCGCUCCUGGUUCCUCCAGCUGCAGCAGGUGCUGCCCCGGGGAUGGGAAUGGGCAGUCCCAGGGAUAUGCAAUCCUGAAGCUGCAGAGCUCUGGAGACACACAACCCCGGAGUUGCAAAGAGACUGAACACAGCAAUAAUGCAACGAGGGGCUGAGAAGCCCAGCCCUGGGCUACCAAACUGGUACCGAAGGGAGCUCACCGGCCCCGGGCAGCCCCGCCUGCCUCGAGCCCCUGGCUUAGCGCUGUAACCAAGACCAGAAGGCACUCGAGAGCAAAGACACAGGGCCGGUUUUUUCAGCCACACAAGAUUUCUUCUCAGAAGUUUUUCUCGCUACAAAAGAAGCCACGGGAGCACUCGGAGUAUCCAUUUUUAUGGAGAGAAUGCCAAAAUAGGACCUCUCGGAGAAACUAUCCCUUUCCCCGUCAGACCGCCACGAAAACGAACAACGGAUAAUUCCUCCCAAACAUCCUUCGAGGAAAAACAAGGGCUGAAAGGCCGGAUCCUGCUGCAGGGGGUGAACGGCCCGGGAGCCCUUUUUCCCGGUGCCUCCGGGAUUCAAGGGUGGGAGAGGAGGAACCGCCUCCGGCAAACUCUCGCGUGUCGGGGCAAAAAUAAAAGGGGGUCCGAGUGUUCCACGGUGGUGGGGAUUAUUUCCUUUUUUUUUUUUUUUGGUUGGUUGGUUUUGUUUUGGUUGGAUUUUUUGUUUGUUUGGCUGGUUGAUUGGCUUUUUAGGAGGGUAUUAUUGGAGUUUUAAAAUUUAUUGAUCGUUACCUGGCAGAUGGCCGGCAUCCCCUUCAGAAGCGGCAGCUCCCUUGGGAACGGGUGGGGACUUUCAGGACAGGGGUGAGACUCGACCCGUCCAGCCCAGGAGAAGAAGCUUUGCCGUCUGGGGAAGCCGCUUUCCCGAUGUUUGGGGACAGAGAGGAAAGACACAGCCACCCACCCCGCAAAGGGCAGCUCGGCUUGGACGAGGACCCCCCCCUCCCGCGGCUUGUCCUUGGGGAAGCUGAUUUCAUGCCUCUCCGGUUGCGGGUCACAGGUUGGGGGGGACACAUCACCGGAGCAGAGGUGAGGGUCAGGGCUCUGUAACUCUACUCGCCCAGGUUCGUCCUCCUACCCGUCUCGGAGCAGCUGACCCUCUCGGAAGGGGCUCUCGAGGGUCCCGCUGCGAGAAGCCCCAGGAGAAGACAACCGGCACCCCCAGGCUGGAGGAACGCUGCCCCAUCUCCGGGGUGCAGGGGCGGGGGGCAUCACUUUUAAGACAAAUAAAGCCCAAACCCUGUCGCAAGUUAAACGUGAACACCCCCCCGACCUGUGCCACACCUCUCCAGGCUCCCCGGCCAAGGGCAGCCCCUGAUCCCUGGAGAUGCGGGGCUCGGAGCCGGCCCCCCUGCCCCCGCCCGGCUCCCCCCUCCCCCGGCGAGCGCAAAGCGAGCCCGGUGACAUCGCAAGAUGGAUCGGAUUUGUACGGCACGCAGGAAGUAUCCGAGAAGUCAGACCUUUAUCUCCUCUGGAAAACAUCGUGAGGACAGACAAGCUGCAAACACCCUGAAAUCCUUGCGGCGGCUUCGUGCUUCCCAGCCAAGCGCUGCUCCCCUUCCCACUGGAGCCGGUGGGAACCCAGGGGAGGUGGAUCGGGCCAAAGCUCCGAGGGAGAGGGCAGGGCAGCCCCGCCGUGUUUAGAGCUUUGUCCUCCGAAGCAGCCCACGCCUCGUGGUGCCUAGAAGUUUAGCAAUCCUGGAGAGAAACAACGAGCGGGUGUGGAAAACAACCCUUGCCUGUAAGGGGCUUGGCUUUUCUGGACGUGAGGGCCAGGCGCAGACCCGAGGGGGCAGCAAGAGCAAACCCAGGGAAGGAGAAGAGCAUCCUCCGCUUUCCACUUGCAGCCAGGAAAAAGCAGCGGCUUUACUGACCCCCAUGUAUCCCCCAGGAGCCCCUGAGUCCCGGCUGGAUGGGUGGGCUGGAGAAGGUGUUUCAGGGCUCUCCACCAGGGACUGUUUCCCUUCACUCUUUUUUGCCUGUUCUUUUAACUCAGUUCUAAUUUCGCACUCACUGGCCUGCAAUUAAAAGCGACCACAGAGGGCAAAAGCAGUGCGGGAGGUGCGGGAUGUUCCUCCCCUCCAGCCCUGCUCCGGGGGCUCUGCCGGUCACCCCGGGCUGAGCAGGACGGGGAGAUGGGUGAACCGGUGUUUUUUGUCCCCCCGGCUCUGCCGCGACGCCUUUUGUAGUCGGAGCCUGACUUCGGCUGGAGAGCACCGGGAAAGGGGGAAACGCGGGGACGGGGGGAGGGAAUGGAUGCUGAGCCUCGACCCGGAAAGUCCGUGAGCUGCUGUAUGUCAGUAACUUAUUCAUCAAUCAGCCGGACACAGAGCAGACCUGGCCUCUCUUUGCGGAGUGUUUGCUUUUUCACCAAUUAUUGCGGCCUUGCAGCUCUUUUUGUUGAUACAGUAGUUCUAAAAAGUGCUAAUGUUCAUUUAUCAGGGGGCCGAGCCCGGGACUCCCACUAGUUGCGAUUCUUCCAAAAAUAUAAACACGAAGAGAAGGGCUAAGGCUAAAGCCCCCAUUUGUUUCUAAACUGCAGUAUUAAAAGUGAUGCAUUGUUGAAGAUAAAGCGGAGAUAACGCUGUCUGUCUCCAAUGAAUGUCUCCCCGACGCAUUAAUGACAUUCCAAAUGAUAGCUCCGGCUUAUCGUUCAAUUAAUCACUUCCACCCUCUGCAGCCGGGCCCACAUCGAUCGGGAGCCGCCGUGGGAUUGGGGGGCUGCAGGAAACCCGUCGAUCCUCAAUUGGGAGCCGGCAGCUCCCCUCCCGGUGCCCGCAGAGCCCUCUGGCCCGGGAUGCGCUCCGGGGUCACGGGGAAGAGGGGAGCCCCUGGGGCAAGGAACCGCCUUGCCACAUCCGAGCUUAACCCGGGAAAACAAUUUUGUGCCCGGGAUGGAGGAAGGGAGCGCUGGACUCCGUUUCUCCCGUCCCCAGGGGAGGCGAGCCUGCGGGUCUGGAUAUGGGGGGCAAGGAUCGGGGUUAUUUCGUUACUUCGGUAUUUAUCUGAUUAGCUAGUAAUAAAAUGGAGGAAACGAAGUUGGAGCAGAGGGCAAAGGGUACAGCAGACACUCGGCAAAGUCCUGCCGCAGGUCGCCCUCCCGAAGCCGGGCUGCCUCCACCUUCCCCGAACGCUUCGCCCUUCUCCUGCCACCGAGGAAAAUCCCCUCCGAGCCCAUUCCCGGGGAAGCACAGCCCCGAAGAGGGAGAUGGCCUCUUGGUCGCCCCCUCCCUCAUUAAACAGCAAUAUUUCAGGCCUCUCCGUAGGCAGUAAUCGCUCCAGGAACCGCCGCAAGAUUCGGACCCGGUUCGCGCACAAAACCUCUCGCAGCGCUCCAGCAGAAGGGGCUGCGGAGAGGGACACGGGCCCCGGAGAGAGGAGCGGGGUCACAGCAUCGCCCGCGGCACAGCCGUGACCGAAUCCCCCGGCAGAGAGCCCGAGAGCGCCGGGACACAAAAACCCGGCGCGGGGGGAGCGGGGGCAGCAGAAGGGGUUCGGGAAAGAGCAGCCCGGAGAGUGCAGGUGCCCCCGUUUGUCCCGCUCCCCGGAGGGUCUCCUGCUUCUGCGGGAGGGGAGAGGAAUUGCAAAACUCCUCCAUCCGAGGAAGCCGUCAACUCACCGCAUGCCCGCACCGCAUGCUCGGCUCCCCGAGCCGCCCGGAGCCGGCACCUCUGCACCGAAGAAGUUGCUAGAGGGGAUUUACUUUAUUUUCCUUUCCCCCCCCUGAAGUGAGAAAGGGCCCUAACGCCCCUCCUCAACCUGCGACUUGGCCUCUGAGGUUUAUUUUAGUGUCUCCAAGGGCGUUACGCGAAGA